rnacentral:tRNA from 3 species
GGGCGCUUAGCUCAGCCGGUUAGAGCGCCGUCUUCACACGGCGGAGGUCGCUGGUUCGAUCCCAGCAGCGCCCACCA